AAACAGCUCGCUAAAUUGGUGUUAGACUGGGAUUUGGUCAGAGCCAGGUGGAACCAGGCUCACAAAUCUUCAGGAACCAACUCUCAGGGGCUUCC